UACGGAGGGAGCUAGCGUUGUUCGGAAUUACUGGGCGUAAAGCGCACGUAGGCGGUUAUUCAAGUCAGAGGUGAAAGCCCGGGGCUCAACCCCGGAACUGCCUUUGAAACUAGAUGACUAGAAUCUUGGAGAGGUCAGUGGAAUUCCGAGUGUAGAGGUGAAAUUCGUAGAUAUUCGGAAGAACACCAGUGGCGAAGGCGACUGACUGGACAAGUAUUGACGCUGAGGUGCGAAAGCGGUGGGGGAGCAAAACAGG
rnacentral:rRNA from 1 species